rnacentral:rRNA from 1 species
AUGAACGCUGGCGGCGUGCUUAACACAUGCAAGUCGAACGAUGAACCAGGUGCUUGCACUUGGGGAUUAGUGGCGAACGGGUGAGUAACACGUGAGUAACCUGCCCCUGACUUCAGGAUAAGCCCGGGAAACUGGGUCUAAUACUGGAUAUGACUAUUGACCGCAUGGUUGGUGGUGGAAAGAUUUAUUGGUUGGGGAUGGACUCGCGGCCUAUCAGCUUGUUGGUGAGGUAAUGGCUCACCAAGGCGACGACGGGUAGCCGGCCUGAGAGGGUGACCGGCCACACUGGGACUGAGACACGGCCCAGACUCCUACGGGAGGCAGCAGUGGGGAAUAUUGCACAAUGGGCGAAAGCCUGAUGCAGCGACGCCGCGUGAGGGAUGACGGCCUUCGGGUUGUAAACCUCUUUCAGUAGGGAAGAAGCCGAAAGGUGACGGUACUUGCAGAAGAAGCGCCGGCUAACUACGUGCCAGCAGCCGCGGUAAUACGUAGGGCGCGAGCGUUAUCCGGAUUUAUUGGGCGUAAAGAGCUCGUAGGCGGUUUGUCGCGUCUGCCGUGAAAGACCAGGGCUCAACCCUGGUUCUGCGGUGGGUACGGGCAGACUAGAGUGAUGUAGGGGAGACUGGAAUUCCUGGUGUAGCGGUGAAAUGCGCAGAUAUCAGGAGGAACACCGAUGGCGAAGGCAGGUCUCUGGGCAUUUACUGACGCUGAGGAGCGAAAGCAUGGGGAGCGAACAGGAUUAGAUACCCUGGUAGUCCAUGCCGUAAACGUUGGGCACUAGGCGUGGGGGACAUUCCACGUUUUCCGCGCCGUAGCUAACGCAUUAAGUGCCCCGCCUGGGGAGUACGGCCGCAAGGCUAAAACUCAAAGGAAUUGACGGGGGCCCGCACAAGCGGCGGAGCAUGCGGAUUAAUUCGAUGCAACGCGAAGAACCUUACCAAGGCUUGACAUGUUCCAGACCGCUCCAGAGAUGGGGUUUCCCUUCGGGGCUGGUUCACAGGUGGUGCAUGGUUGUCGUCAGCUCGUGUCGUGAGAUGUUGGGUUAAGUCCCGCAACGAGCGCAACCCUCGUUCCAUGUUGCCAGCACGUAGUGGUGGGGACUCAUGGGAGACUGCCGGGGUCAACUCGGAGGAAGGUGGGGAUGACGUCAAAUCAUCAUGCCCCUUAUGUCUUGGGCUUCACGCAUGCUACAAUGGCCGGUACAAUGGGUUGCGAUACUGUGAGGUAGAGCUAAUCCCUAAAAGCCGGUCUCAGUUCGGAUUGGGGUCUGCAACUCGACCCCAUGAAGUCGGAGUCGCUAGUAAUCGCAGAUCAGCAACGCUGCGGUGAAUACGUUCCCGGGCCUUGUACACACCGC